rnacentral:rRNA from 1 species
UACGUAGGUGGCGAGCGUUGUCCGGAUUUACUGGGCGUAAAGGGCGUGCAGGCGGUCUGCUAAGUCUAGGGUGAAAGCUCCCGGCUCAACUGGGAGAGGUCCUUGGAUACUGACAGACUUGAGGGAGGCAGAGGAGAAUGGAAUUCCCGGUGUAGUGGUGAUAUGCGUAGAUAUCAGGAGGAACACCGAUGGCGAAGGCAGCUCGCUGGGACGGUACUGACGCUGAGGCGCGAAAGCGUGGGGAGCAAACAGG